UCCUGCUGCUGCCUGCAUCUUGCUGGUCCUGUUGUCCAUGGGCCCCCCCGUGAUGGCAGACAUACAGAGCGACUGCCGUGCGAUUUGUACUCCUAGGUGCAGGGGCCUCGCUUCUGAUGGGUGCAACAGCAUCAUUGAGCUCGCCCCUGCUAUCCUGAAACCUCUGAACCUCCUUCCAACGUGUGAAGUGCGGAUCAAUCAACUAUGCCUUACACUCUGCUACAACGUCUGCACCCUCAACACCCUGACCCCGCCGGGCGCCCCCUCACCGGCGCCGGCCAGCGCCGCCGCACCACCACCAUGCAAGCAAUAAUUAUAUACCCGUGUCUUACUUCAUAAGCAUACAAAUUACUAAAGAAUGAUCAAAAUAUAUCUGUGUAAUAAAGUGUCCUUGCUCCCGGUAUAUGCCUACCGGCUAGCUAGAGGAAGCGUGUGUGCGAUGCUUGGUCAUCGUCAGUGUUCAUGAGCUAAGACUCAUACUAUGUAUCUGAUAUCUGUGUCCAAGGGUAUUCUUGGAACCCGUGUUUAAUUGGAAGUAUAAAUUUUUGUAUCAACCAAAAAUCACUUUAUUGUUAUGGUUUUUUCCUAGUUAUAUUAUUCAUCAAUGCAUGCAGAACUAUAUAGUCCCUGUUGGGGAACCAUCUACGCCUAAUAUUCAGAUGGGCAAAUAAUAUGUUAGGCGUAGAUGGUUGAGUUCUUUAUCUUUCAGGAUCUAGAAUCAAGGGCCUUAGCUGCCCGCAGUCCAGUGCAGAAAAGGUGGGCAAGAAAGCAUCGCCAAGAGAUCUGGUAGAUUUCACUCCCCAAGGCAUAGAAGCCAUUGCUAUAUAAGCAAGAUAGACUUCCAUGCAACUCAUUAAAGCAGCAUCUAGCCAGCUCUUGAUUUGAUACCUAUAGGUUUCUAUAUUUGUGGAAAAAGUUCAUAUGCCAUAAAUUCUUAUAUUUAGGGAUGGAGAUAACACAUGUAAGAGCAAGUCCAAAAGCUCUCUUUUAUUAACCCCAAUACCUCAAUUAGGGAGAAAAAGAAAAAAAAAUAGGCUCCAACAACUCCCCGCAAAUAUUUAGCAUCCCGAAUCCUUCCCUCAUCGCCCCGCAUAUAUCCGUCGAUCCAAUCUUCCCCAAUCCCCCUCAUGCGGUUCUCCUUUGCCCGCACGCACAAUCAUCAUCUGAUGACGAACCCAACACCAGUUGCAUGGAAUGGAUUCGUCGGCUCAUAAUGAAUCCGUUUUACCUAUCUCCAAUAGCAAUAGCGUAGUGGCAGGUUUGGCUGGUAGAAGCAGUGGAAAAAAAAGCUGCGGGGAAGGGUGAUUGGCGGCGGAAGGUGGCGGGGCUGGUGUGCCGAGAACAGAUAGUGAGGGGGCGGGGAAGGGUGGUGGCCCAAUUGAGGGGCCCAUACAUGCUGAUGGGUCAGUUUUGAAGUAUUGGGGGGUUUAUUAUUGGGGAUCUGUCGUGGGAUGACAUGAUUUUGGGGAAAUAAAUUUUAGUAAAACCCCCAAUACAUAGUUUUGGGGAAGAAUUUUUUAGAUACUCUGGAAGAAACACAUGUAAUUCUAUUUCAAAAGUUACCAAGCACCUUUUAUUUAUAUCAAAACAUAUUUAUCUGAUUUCGUUUCUUCCACAACUUCAUGUUUGUACCAUGUAAUGAAUGAAAUUAGCAUCACAAUGUGCUUCUACCAUAUAUACAAUUUCUUGUAUGUACCGUAUAAUAAGUGAAAUUCAGUGUCACACGCUGCCCCCAUUUGCAUAAUUUCAAUGUAUGUACCAUGUAACAUAAUCAAUGACAAUCAUAAUCUCACGCUUCUCC
rnacentral:lncRNA from 1 species